AUUGAACGCUGGCGGCAGGCCUAACACAUGCAAGUCGAACGGUAACAGGAAGCAGCUUGCUGCUUUGCUGACGAGUGGCGGACGGGUGAGUAAUGUCUGGGAAACUGCCUGAUGGAGGGGGAUAACUACUGGAAACGGUAGCUAAUACCGCAUAACGUCGCAAGACCAAAGAGGGGGACCUUCGGGCCUCUUGCCAUCGGAUGUGCCCAGAUGGGAUUAGCUUGUUGGUGGGGUAACGGCUCACCAAGGCGACGAUCCCUAGCUGGUCUGAGAGGAUGACCAGCCACACUGGAACUGAGACACGGUCCAGACUCCUACGGGAGGCAGCAGUGGGGAAUAUUGCACAAUGGGCGCAAGCCUGAUGCAGCCAUGCCGCGUGUAUGAAGAAGGCCUUCGGGUUGUAAAGUACUUUCAGCGGGGAGGAAGGGAGUAAAGUUAAUACCUUUGCUCAUUGACGUUACCCGCAGAAGAAGCACCGGCUAACUCCGUGCCAGCAGCCGCGGUAAUACGGAGGGUGCAAGCGUUAAUCGGAAUUACUGGGCGUAAAGCGCACGCAGGCGGUUUGUUAAGUCAGAUGUGAAAUCCCCGGGCUCAACCUGGGAACUGCAUCUGAUACUGGCAAGCUUGAGUCUCGUAGAGGGGGGUAGAAUUCCAGGUGUAGCGGUGAAAUGCGUAGAGAUCUGGAGGAAUACCGGUGGCGAAGGCGGCCC
rnacentral:rRNA from 1 species